rnacentral:rRNA from 1 species
CCUACGGGGGGCAGCAGUGGGGAAUAUUGCACAAUGGGGGAAACCCUGAUGCAGCAACGCCGCGUGAAGGAAGACGGUUUUCGGAUUGUAAACUUCUAUCAAUAGGGAAGAAAGAAAUGACGGUACCUAAAUAAGAAGCCCCGGCUAACUACGUGCCAGCAGCCGCGGUAAUACGUAGGGGGCAAGCGUUAUCCGGAAUUACUGGGUGUAAAGGGAGCGUAGACGGUUAAGUAAGUCUGGAGUGAAAGGCCGGGGCCCAACCCCGGGACUGCUCUGGAAACUAUUGAACUUGAGUGCAGGAGAGGUAAGCGGAAUUCCUAGUGUAGCGGUGAAAUGCGUAGAUAUUAGGAGGAACAACAGUGGCGAAGGCGGCUUACUGGACUGUAACUGACGUUGAGGCUCGAAAGCGUGGGGAGCAAACAGGAUUAGAUACCCCAGUAGUC